UACAGAGGUGGCAAACGUUGUCCGGAUUUAUUGGGUGUAAAGGGCAUGUAGGUGGUCUUGUAAGUCAAAGGUGAAAUGGCCCGGCUCAACCGAGUCAUUGCCUUUGAAACUGCCGGACUCGAGUACGGAAGAGGAGAGCGGAAUUCCCAGUGGAGCGGUGAAAUGCAUAGAGAUUGGGAGGAACACCGGUGGCGAAGGCGGCUCUCGGGUCCGAAACUGACACUGAGAUGCGAAAGCCAGGGGAGCAAACGGG
rnacentral:rRNA from 1 species